CCCGUUUGGCCCUAUGCACAUUGGCAUUUGGCACUUGAUUAUUCUGUAUAGCAGAUGAAAAUAUAAAAGAAAAUUUUAGGGAGAUCAGAAUGCAUUUUUAUUGCACACAAUGAAAACCUUCUGCAUAAAUCUGCUAGAUUUCUUAGAUUGCCAAUUAGCAUGACCAUAAUUUUUGCUCAAGUAAUCAGUUCUCUUUACUGGAUGAACAAAAUAAGCAUUUUUUAACUCAAGAUGGAAAAAUAUCUCUCUCAUUCUCUACCAGCUUAAUUAUAAAGUGACGGAAUUAAGACUUCAAGUCUUGGAUUACCAAAAAUGGAUUGGCUGAUUUUCACUAAGAAGAAUGACUGGCCAUAGCUGCUGGAAAGCUGCUCCUACAGAUGUUGAUGGCAAAUGUUUAGCUCUUGCUGGGAAGCUCUUGAUUGCAGCUGGAGAAGUUUAAGGGCCAGCCUCUGCCAGUCUCAGCUACAUGAGAUGUUACACACCCCACAUUCAGAGAUUUCCAGCCCCACAGCUCUUGGUUCAGAGCUCCAGCAGCCCACAGACCGAGUGACCUCACCCAGUCAUCUUUGCUGGAGCCCCUCAUUUCUGGGUUUGCACAGACACAAGUGGAGGAAUGCAGGGUGGGCAGCAUCUGCCCUUGUGCUCAGCCACCAAAGGGAAUGACACAGGUUUGCGUCACUGGAGGAGGAAAUAAGCCGUGGCUUGGACCACAACAAACACUUGCACUCUGGCAUCCCACUUGAGAUCUUGUGACUCUGGUUGUCUCCACAAGGCAAGAAUGCUCUUCUUGCAUGUGUCUGCCCCACACUGUAGCAGGGGCCUUGUUCAAAGGCUUGACAUCAGUGACACAAGUGCAAAAUCAAAGCCAGAGCUGGCUGCACUCCAAGGAUCCAUCCUGCUGAUGCCUCAGCUGUGCCAGUUGGAGUUAGUUAUCAAGGAAGAGAAACUAUACCACAAGUGCUGAAGGGAUUGGGAACAUCAUGUCUGGCGUAAACAGGAACUGCAGAGCUGUGGCAGGACCAUCCUGACCUUUGCAGUGUGGGAGAAGACAUGAUGUGGUUUAUUCAGCACAGCCUUACUCUUCCUCAGCCCAGAAGGCAAUGCUCAGGGACUGCUAAUGCACAUAGCCCAAGGGUAAGAGCAGAGGCCUUUCUAAAAUAUCAAAUGGAAUUGCUGUCUUCUGGAAAAAUUGACAGGUUUCUUUCCAUCUAUGUUCUCUCUGCCCUAGACCAGCUCUUUGUACCUUAGCCUGGUUCCAAGGGCAAGUCCAGCACCCAGGUUUGGGGCUCUCCUCAGCAUGCACAGCUACAACAAAUAGCAUGAAAUCACACUAGGGAAAAGGAGAUUCUGCCAACCACAGGCUCAGUCCCAAAGCUAUUUUUUGGUC